rnacentral:rRNA from 1 species
CCUACGGGUGGCAGCAGUGAGGAAUAUUGGUCAAUGGGCGCGAGCCUGAACCAGCCAAGUAGCGUGAAGGAUGACUGCCCUACGGGUUGUAAACUUCUUUUAUGAAGGGAUAAAGUGAGUCACGUGUGCCUUUUGUAUGUUCUUUAUGAAUAAGGAUCGGCUAACUCCGUGCCAGCAGCCGCGGUAAUUCGGAGGAUCCGAGCGUUAUCCGGAUUUAUUGGGUUUAAAGGGAGCGUAGAUGGGUUGUUAAGUCAGUUGUGAAAGUUUGCGGCUCAACCGUAACAUUGUAAGUGAUACUGGCAGCCUUGAGUACAGUUGAGGUAGGCGGAAUUCGUGGUGUAGCGGUGAAAUGCUUAGAUAUCACGAAGAACUCCGAUUGCGAAGGCAGCUUACUAAACUGCCACUGACACUGAUGCUCGAAAGUGUGGGUAUCAAACAGGAUUAGAUACCCGAGUAGUC